AAAAAUGCGAUGACGAAGAGAAAAAUACCAUAGUUUUUGACCCAGAGAGCCGGUGGUUGGUGAAAACCGGUGUCAAGGCGGUAUGCAAUACUCACUUUCGAGCACUUUGACUGAAAAAAGCUGAUUUUAGUAGGUUGAAGCGGAAUCCACCGAUAAAGGGAUAAGGAUUGGGCAGAUUUUGCAGAUCCGACAACGAGACAGCGACUUAGGCUGUGAAUUAGGGUGGUACCACGAGAUAAUAUCUUUCGUCCCUAUA
rnacentral:ncRNA from 1 species